rnacentral:rRNA from 1 species
UACGGAGGGUGCAAGCGUUAUCCGGAUUUACUGGGUUUAAAGGGUGCGCAGGCGGAUAUGUAAGUCAGUGGUGAAAUCUUCCCGCUUAACGGGAAAACUGCCAUUGAUACUAUAUAUCUUGAAUGCUGUGGAGGCAAGCAGAAUAUGUCAUGUAGCGGUGAAAUGCUUAGAUAUGACAUAGAACACCCAUUGCGAAGGCAGCUUACUACGGGAUUAUUGACACUGAGGCACGAAAGCGUGGGGAUCAAACAGG